GCUUCCGGGGACCAGGCCCGCUUUUGGCUGCAUCAGCCGGGGAUUGCCGGCGCCAGGUGCUGGGGGCGACUCGGACAGCGGGAGCGUGGGGUGGAGUAGGAUGGAGUCUCCCUCCCGAGCUGGGGGUGUGGGCCUAGGAAAGGCUGCUUCGCCGCUGUGUUCGGAGAGCUCUGGAUACUGCGGGGCUUUUCCGCGGAGGAGCGCCCGCCGGUAGGUUGGCCCCGAACCGUGGGGGCGGCGACGGCCGAGUGCCAAUUUGACUCUGUGCACCAAGGUCCCCGCGCCCCGGAACGGGCGACGCCGCGCCCCCAUCAGAGCCGCGGGUACGGAGUCAGGGUGCGAACCCGGCCUUCCAAGCCGCGCGACCGGAAGCGGGCAGCUCGGAGGCCUUCCCGGAUGGCUCUUUGGAGUGGGAAGGAGCUCCUGGUGCUGGCGGGACGGUGAAGGAGUUGGCAGUGGGUGGUCGUUGACUCCCAGGGAGAAUGGGGCGCCGUGAAGCCCGUGGGGAGCUCCUGGGCUCCCCCAGCGCUGUGCAGAGUGGCCUGACAAGUGCCUCGAGGACAGGAGCUGUGCCCCGCUGAGCUCUGCUCCAGUACCUGGUGUGCUGAGGUGGGCACGUGCGUUUCCUCUGGCAUAGCAGGUGCUUGUGCUGCUGCACUGCUCCUUCAGGCAUCUGCAUCUGGGACCGACCUCCUGGGCUGGCUGAUCAAAGAGGAAGCAGCAGCAAUGUCUGCUGUGGGGGCUGCAACUCCAUACCUGCAUCAUCCUGGUGAUAGUCACAGUGGCCGAGUGAGUUUCUUGGGGGCCCAGCUUCCUCCAGAGGUGGCAGCAAUGGCCCGGCUACUAGGGGACCUAGACAGGAGCACGUUCAGAAAGUUGCUGAAGUUUGUGGUCAGCAGCCUGCAGGGGGAGGACUGCCGAGAGGCUGUGCAGCGUCUUGGGGUCAGCGCCAACCUGCCGGAGGAGCAGCUGGGUGCCCUGCUGGCAGGCAUGCACACACUGCUCCAGCAGGCCCUCCGUCUGCCCCCCACCAGCCUGAAGCCUGACACCUUCAGGGACCAGCUCCAGGAGCUCUGCAUCCCCCAAGACCUGGUCGGGGACUUGGCCAGCGUGGUAUUUGGGAGCCAGCGGCCCCUCCUUGAUUCUGUGGCCCAGCAGCAGGGGGCCUGGCUGCCGCAUGUUGCUGACUUUCGGUGGCGGGUGGAUGUAGCAAUCUCCACCAGUGCCCUGGCUCGCUCCCUGCAGCCGAGCGUCCUGAUGCAGCUGAAGCUUUCAGAUGGGUCAGCAUACCGCUUUGAGGUCCCCACAGCCAAGUUCCAGGAGCUGCGGUACAGCGUGGCCCUGGUCCUAAAGGAGAUGGCAGAUCUGGAGAAGAGGUGUGAGCGCAGACUGCAGGACUGACCCCUCACUUGACCAGUCCCAUUCAGAUCCGGCUUGGACAGGCACCUGAGAUGGUGCCAAAGUGCAGCUGACUCUUCCCACGACAGCCCUGCCCUUCCCAUGAGGCAGGCUCUUCAAGCGAUAUCUGAAGUGGCUCUGAUGCCUUUGCCACACUCCUCGCAUCUCUGGGACAUCCCUUCCGCACUCUCUCCCUGACUUUCAAGAGGCUGACAAUCCAGGCCGCUGCUUCCCAGCUCCUUACAUCCCUGGGGUGCGUCCUUGGUGAAGGUCUUGGGAACCACAGUCUCCUCAUUCAAACAGUUAUUUUGGAAGGUAAAGCCUGUCACUUUCAGCCCGGGACUGCCCAGAUGACUGUCUAACCAGACCUCAGAAUCAGAAACGUCUCCAAAGCCAGGAUUCUGAGGAAAGUCCUGUGGGGAGAUUCUGACCACUGUCCCAUAGGAUUCUGAUUUUAGGAUGUCCAUGUCCUCACAGGCCUGCUCAUUUUCAGUCCUAAUCGUAGAAUCUGAAAUAAACAGGAACAAAGACGUUCCUUAGGCCCUGUGCUCAGAGAAAUGAUAAGACUACAAAUGCGGGGGCCAGGGCUCAAGGCUCCCAGGAUAGUUGCACUGAGCACUGUGAGGCCCCAGGUGGAAACGUGCAAGAGAAGGCAGAGCCUUUGACAGUUCUCAAAAGUGGUUUCAUACUUUUUACCUUGUUCACUCAUUCGAUAGCAAUGAAUGUUCAUUGCUGGGGCAGGGCUGGGUUCUGUGAGCAGAGAGGUCCAUCCUACAGGCACUGGUGUGGGGCACAGUCCAUGCAGAGGCAAAGGAGACAAAGCAAGACCAGAAGGGUGGGAAGCUACCACGGAUUGGGCUGCGGGGUCAGGGGCUCCAGCAUCCGAGCUGGCGAGGAAACAGUACAGGGUCUGAGUUCUGAAUGGAGAGCAUGGAUUGUGAUGAGGAAACAAGGCUGGAAGAGCUGCCAAGGGACUUACUACGUGAGCUCAGAAGAGCACUGGGCACCUAGGCCGUUCAUGGCUACUCCCUGGGGUGGGCUUCUCUGAGCAGGACCCAGCCCCCUCAGCUGCCUCCUGGCUGCUGCUGCCAACUUGCACCUGGCCACCUCCCCUGCUUCUCCCUGGGCUGUGCGUGGCCACCUCUAAGACCACACUGACUUCUUCCCUGGGGCUGCAAGUUUCUGGAGGCCCCCAGGAGGCCUUCCAGACAUCUGCGUUCCUUCUGGACUCUCCAAGUAAGCACAGGCUUCUGUCCUACUCUGUAACCCUAGAGGGCACCUCUGCUGAGGUCAGACAUCUCCUUGAUGUCUGUGAUCAAACCAUGACAGGAUGCAACCACAACACACGGCUAUGAUCAUGACAACCACGGUCCCCACCACGACACAAUCACGUUCACAACCACAACCACGCAGCCACAGCUAUAACCAGCCCGAGUCUACCCCACAUGAAUGCACAGCCCAGUUACAGGGCUUCAAGCUUCGGUUCCUGCCCACUCCUAACCAUUGGUGGUGAGUCUCCGGCUUCCAGGGAUCUCCAAAGGUCUUCCUAUCAGUCCUGGAGAAUCAGAGCAGGAAGCCCUUUCAACCUCAUUGUGUAGCAGGGAUGCUCAAGGCCUGUGAGGACAGGAGGCAUCUCCAGGCCUGGUCCUCAUGUGCUGCUUUCCCUGCACAACCACACCACCUCAGCAUGCCUGCUCUUUCAACAGGGCUUGCUUGACACUCCUCCCAAGCCUUCCCCUGCUGUGAAGAUAAGAGAGCAGGGUGGCCAGGUGCAGUGGCUCACGCCUGUAAUCCCGGCUACUUGGGAGGCUGAGGCACAAGAAUCACUUGAACCUGGCAGGCAGAGGUUGCAGUGAGCCAAGAUCAUGCCACUGCACUCCAGCCUGGGCAACAAAGACUCCAUCUCAAAAAAUAAAAAAAUAAAGAGCAGCGGCAGAGAGAGCAGGGCCAAGCUGACAGCAAGGCUUUGUUGGGGGAUGCCAGGAACCACCCAGCAGGGGGCACGGUGGUGGUCAAAAGCGUGGGGGUGCACAGCUGGGACCUGGCCGCUCCUCCACUGCUCUGGGCCAAUAUCUUUCAGUAUCUGAUGCUGACUGUACCAGCUGGGGACAAGUAACAUAUCUGGGCAUUUCUGCCUUGCUUCAUGUAUUCUGGUUUUGUGCUGCUGCAUGUUUUAUCUAAGAGGCUACAUCCCUGCCCCGGACUCUCAGGUCUGCGAGCAAGUGCUGGGUCCAUCAACAGCAGCUCUCACCUACUGUGGGAUUCUAUUUUUUUGUUGUUGCUUUAUCACAGUGAGGACCACCUGCUACAUAUAAACCCACUGAACUAUUUCUGCCAACUGUAGCUGGCUUUUCUGCCAUGGCACCCUCUUUAAACGCUCCUGUCCAUGUUGGAGACAUUUUAAUGGGCGGCUGGGUUUUAACUGGGCCACCUUAUAGCUGAACCUCCUUCUCAGGGAGACUGAGCAGAAAGGAUCACAUGGGAGUAGCCAGCAGAGCCAGUGAGGCCAGGGUUCCUGACCACUCUUCCCACACAUCACAUGCAGACUUCCUGGGCGGCUGCAAGGCCCACAGGGCGUGAAGAGGCUCAGAAACCCUCCUUGUCCUUUGAAGCUGCCUAGGGGCAUAUGAAUGGAAGUAAGGUCACAGCCCCUAGGCGCAUAUGAAUGGAAGUAAGGUCACAGCCCCUAGGCGCAUAUGAAUGGAAGUAAGGUCACAGCCCCUAGGCGCAUAUGAAUGGAAGUAAGGUCACAGCCCCUAGGCGCAUAUGAAUGGAAGUAAGGUCACAGCCCCUAGGCGCAUAUGAAUGGAAGUAAGGUCACAGCCCCUAGGCGCAUAUGAAUGGAAGUAAGGUCACAGCCCCUAGGCGCAUAUGAAUGGAAGUAAGAUCACAGCCCCUGCUUUUUUUUUUUUUUUUUUUUUGAGACGUCAUCUCGCUCUGUCGCCCAGGCUGGAGUGCAGUAGCGCAAUCUCGGCUCACUGCAAGCUCUGCCUCCUGGGCUCACACCAUUCUCCUGCCUCGGCCUCCCGAGUAGCUGGGACUACAGGCGCCUGCCACCACGCCUGGUUAAUUUUUUGUAUUUUUAGUAGACACAGGGUUUCACCGUGUUGGCCAGGAUGGUCUCGAUCUCCUGACCUCGUGAUCCGCCCACCUCGGCCUCCCAAAUCGCUAGAAUGGCCGGCGUGAGCCACCAUGCCCGGCUCCACGGCCCCUACUUUUCACAACUUUGGACUGUCCAACUUGCUUCCCGAGGCCCCUACAAGCCGGUGGCCUCUGUAGGACCUGGUCCUGCCCUGCUGCAGGAGUGACGGUGAUGACCCAGCAGCAACUGAAAGGGAGGUGAGGGGCUUCCUUUCUGCAGCUGAGAUGCACGCAGACCCAUCUCCCUUGUCAUGCUGGGCAGCACACCGGCUAAGCAGGGGAGCAGAGCACCAGGCCGGGCGCCUGCCCAGCAGGAGCUGAUGCCGGAGGCAGUGGGUGCCCUGGUUAGGGCUGAGGACCCCAAGAUAGGCUGAAGUCCUAACUUGAAGCACCUCAGAAUGUGACCUUGUUUGGAAACACAGUCGUUGCAGAUUAAUUAGUCACCAUGAGGUCACUGGGGUGGCCCCUAACCCACCAUGACUGGUGUCCUUCUAAGGAGAUGGCCACAUGAACACAGACACGCAGGGAGAAGGCAGCCGUGUGAAGGAGUCGGAGAUCAGAGUGAGGGACGCAUCCACAAGCCAAGGAACCCAAGGACUGCCAGAAAACCACCAGCUGCCCGGAGAGGCAGGACAGGAUCCUUCCCUAAAGCCUUCACAGGGGGGCACGGCCCUGCUUGCUGACCCCCCGGUUUCAGAUUUCCGGCCUCCACAGCUGUGAGACAAUAAAUUUCUGUUGUUUUAA